rnacentral:rRNA from 12 species
GCGGCUAGACGGAAAGACCCCGUGAACCUUUACUAUAGCUUCACAUUGACAUUGGGCAAUUUAUGUGUAGGAUAGGUGGGAGACUUUGAUACUGCGUCGCUAGGCGUAGGGUAGUCGUCCUUGAAAUACCACCCUUGAAUUGUUUGAUGUCUAACCCCUCCGGGGGGACAUUGUGUGGUGGGUAGUUUGACUGGGGUGGUCGCCUCCAAAAGAGUAACGGAGGCUCCUAAAGGUACCCUCAGCACGGUUGGUAAUCGUGCGUAGAGUGUAAUGGCAUAAGGGUGCUUGACUGAGAGACCUACAAGUCGACCAGGUAGGAAACUAGAGCAUAGUGAUCCGGUGGUUCCGCAUGGAAGGGCCAUCGCUCAAAGGAUAAAAGGUACUCCA